rnacentral:lncRNA from 1 species
UGAUCCCGGAGGAGAGCAUCUACUGCACACCGCCGCACGUCCCUCCUCCUCCGGCGGCAACUGGGGAUACUGUCAGCCACCGGCGGUGCACGCGGCGAGUGUAGGGGCACGGUGGGUCAGCGUCCGGCGAGGCGCACCGACGCGUGCUCGCCGGGAGAGGGUACAUCAGCUACUAGUCUUUGCGCCGAGACAGCGUCCCGUGCUCUCGUCGUGACGCCAGCUACUACAACUGCCGCCCUGGCGCCUCCACCAACCCCUACCACUGCGGCUGCUCCCGCAUCUCCCACUGCCGCGGCUGAUCUCCUCCUCCGCCGCCGCCGAAUCCACCGGGGAAGAUGGCAUCGUCGUCGUCGUCGCCGGUGUACUCCCCGUGGCAGCGAUGGUGGCUUAGAGGAGGCUGCUCGCCGAGGCGCCUCCAUACCAGCCGCACUCCUCGCGGCACCAGCAGGGCGCACUAGGGCACUAUCUGCCGCCGGCUUCAUGGGGUGGUUGAUGUUGGGCAUGAGGCCGGUGAUGACGUAG